AGUCUCUGGGGGAGCUAUAACCGAGGGUACACUGAUGUAGAGGGGAGAGAGAGGAGGCUCUCUGGAGGAGCUUUAAGGAUUUCAGGCCACAGAGACCGGGAGUAAAUGAAAUUAAACUUUAUUCACAACAGGCUAUAGUGGCGAGAUAGUAGGAUGUAAACAGGUAUAAGUCUUAAGUGUAAUUAAAAUACAUGAAACUGUAAAGAUAAGCAUUAACAGUUAAUAGACACAUAUCAACUGUAGAAAAUAUAAUAUUUUCACUGAAAAGAGUAGAGACUAAUGGAAAGACGUGCAGUACACAGUUAAUAGCAUGAAAAUGAAUCAGUGUACCAAAAACUAAUAUUGUCAUCUCACUCCAAGCUGAACUCCAAAGUGGCCAGCCCUGGACUAUAUGUAUGUGUGGUCUAUAACAGAGAAAUACAAAGAACCAACAGGCAGAAUGACCCGCUCUGAAUCAGUCUGUGUCACUGCGGCUGUGCACAGAGUUGUUUCUUAGAAAAACAUGCGUUACUGUCAUGUCAGCUUUUGGUGGAUUCAAAAAUGAAGUCUUGGAUUGCAGAGUAUGAACGUCUUAUCGCUAUAUUCAGACGAUAAAUACUUGUGUAAAGUUUGUGAAGGCAGGAGCAAAACUUCAGUGAUCACUGUUUCCUCACCGCCCUACCCUCCCUGAAUAAAAUGAGUGACAGGCUGACGGUAACCAUAGUAACAGAGCAGGGUCCGGACAGGUGGUUUCCAAAGUUUUGGCAUUCAGACUAAUAACAUAUUGCUGAAUUCAAAUUAUAAAUACUUGAUCUAAAUUUUUUUUUAAAAAAACGUUAUUAUUCACAAAAAAAUGUUGAUCUCUGAUUGAUGAGAUGUGAUGAGGCUGACUUAAUCUCAGAUUCACUGGAUUUAUGUAACAGUAAGACAGAGGAACGUAAGUCUGAGCCCACAUACAGUGUUUUUGUUCCUACGUGCUGUUGUAAAGACUCCUGUUGUCUGCUGUGUUCAGACUCAAGUCAUGUCUGUGAUGCCACAUUCAGGACAUUCAGUGUCCUUUUUUAACAGAAGACCGUUGCUAGAAGCUGCAGCUAGACUGCAGAAGUAUUAGUUUUGUUUUUGAGGAUAGAACAAUUCAAAAUACCAUUUAUUUAUUUUGGUUUACCAUUUAAUGUCAAGACAUUUAUGUUAUUGUAUUCCGAUGCACUUUCUAAAUAAUGAAAAUAUUUAGUUAAUAUUUGUUUGACUGCAUGUAUUCAUUGAUGAACAAGUAGCCAUGUGCAGUAAUAUAGAAAAUGUAUGAUGCAACGCAUUGUUAUGCAUCGUGAUAUCGAAUCGAAUCGUUGACAGAAUAAUCGUAAUCGAAUCGUGAGACCAGUGAAGAUGCACUGUCCUACAAUCAAGUAACACUGUACUGUAUAAAAAGACUCACAUCUUAAAGGUCCCCUAUUAUGCAAAAUCCACUUGUCUUUUAUAUAUAUAUAUAUAUAUAUAUAUUAUAUAUAUUUAUAUUGAUGUGUCCGCAACUUAAAACAACUGUCUUAAAACGAGCGGGUGGGUUUGGACACCUGACAACAUCCUCACCUGGCCGAAAGCCACAGUCAUAACUUAAGUAAAUGACUGAAGGUGUUAGCAGUUUGAUGUAUCGAACAGUGUAGAGAGUAUACAUUUAAUGGCAGUGCAUUUGUGAUCUUUUCAAUUGAGAAGAAAAAGAAAAAACAAUUAGCUUUUUCUUACCUUUUUAAUUUAGUGCUUAACUAAAAAAUAUAAAAUUAAAUAAUGACCACAGACCAAAUUUGAAUACAUUUUUUGGGUCCCAAUUGUGCAAUUGUGACACAUUUUUGUGUGAACAUUGAACUUGUAUUAGAAACAGGAGUGAAAAUGUUGCCAUGGAAACAUCGUGUCGGAAUGUGUUCCUUUACAUUUUAGGAAAUUACGUUUGUGGAAUGAAUUAUUCAGAGUUAAGUUUACUUAGUUGUUGUAGCUAUGGAUGUAACAAUUCUUGCUAUAUCACUUUUUUACAACAUAAAUCUUAAAAGUUGGAGGAUUGUCAGGCAAGUUCUGAAACACUGACGUUGUCCCAGAUCAAGCAUACAGGUAGUUGUGUGCUUCUAAUUAAGCCUUUGGUUUUUAUUUAUAUGUCAGAGGCACCAGCAUGUUAAUUGUGUCACUUUGCAGCAUUCUCUCAAAUAAAUUGGCCCUUUGUUUGAAUACCUCAUCAUUACUAUACUGGUGUUUCUCUAAAACUUUAGGCCCUAUGAAGGAGAAGGAUCUGAUGCCAGGCACAGUGUUUCCAGUGAUGGGCACACUGCUCUUCUUCCUGCCUGAACGCUACAGAGAAAAGCUUUGCUGUGUAACUCCUCUGCCCAAUCCACAUAAGGCCAAAGAAAGAAAAACCUUGCCUUAUCAGAGGGCCAAGAAAGAUGGCAACAAAGCAGCUCAAUGCAAAGAGGAUACCGUCACAGAGGACAAAGAGACGGAGAGUGACAGAGCACAAACAGAGCAGGAAGACUUGGAAAUAAGGAUGGCUCUGCCCUCAUGUCAGCUGACCACUCAUAUGGUUCAGGAGACGGCCUUAUGAUACUUUCUUCUUAUAACAGGUGUACACUUUCAGAUAUGUGUUUGUGAGAAAAAAGUUAUAUGUGUGCAGUUUGAAGAUAAGAGUGAUUCACUCUCUUGCACAAUGAGCUGUUCCAAAGUGAUUCUGUUUGACAAAAAAUCAGGUAGUUAAUAGAUAAUUAUGUAAAUUAUGUUAACAAGUUGUGUUAUUUUCAUAGUGAAAAUGGAGCCUUUAAAAUCUCAAUAAGUGUGGUCUUGUGUCUUUACAUGCAUUGGUUCAAUGUAAUUAGUUUCCUUCUAGCUGCUUUAGUGUGGACAAAAGCAAAGGUAUGUAUGAAUGUGAAUAUGUACUGUAUAUGUGUGUGUAUAAAUAUAUAUAUACACACAUAUAUAUAUAUAUAUGGCACUCUGGCACCAUGAGACACCAUCUUUGCUCGGAUCUUAACACACAGCUUUGCUAUAUAUAUAUAUAUAUGUAUAUUAUAUAUAUAUAUAUAUAGCAGUAAAAAGGAGGUUGAGAUGAUCUUGUUGAGAAUAAGAUGUGUGCUUAAAAAAUUAUUUUAGAUUGGUUCCUAGUUGCUCUAAUACAUUACUUGCCAUAAUGUCAUUGGUAAAUCCUUGGCAUAAUGCUUGGCCAGUACAAAUAAUUCACAUUCAUUGACAUAACCAAGACCAAUAUGCUGCCCAUUAAAUGAAUUAGGAAAGUCAUGCCAUCUAUGAGAAAGGAGCAGUAUGUUAUACAUAACAAUGUAAAGCAUCAAAACUCAAGUUUAAUUUUUAAAAUACAGUACACAGUUUGUGUUCAGUCACAGUAAUCAUGUCUCCAGCAGUCAUGACUGUCAGGAUAGGUUGACUCCAUGUUCUCGGAUGAGCUAUAAGGUGUCUGCUUAGUAUUAUCUCAAUAAGUUCUACUGUAGGAUGACUAUCAACACACGGAACCACAUGUGUUUAAACAUUUUUGUUGGUGCCUUUCUGUUCAUACUUCAGGUUGUUGUCUGUGCCAGUAUGUGAUUCAUUUGCUUAAUUGUUUCACUGUUAUCAUGUUUUUUGGAAUCACAGAAUUCUUGACCGACCCCUUUUUAGCAUUUUAGUUAUCCAUUUUUAUUGUAUUAGAAGAUAGGUGAUGUUUUGAGUCAGCCAUGUGGCUUACUAUGUUCAGUGCCAAACCAUUGUCACAUGUUUCCAAAGAGUAGUCUUCAGUUCAUGGAAAGUCCAUAUGAAAUGCAAUAAUACAAAUGUUCUCCUACAUUUAGACAGUUGCGUUGGUCUACCAAUAUACAUUGCUGGAGUUGCAAUUGUAUGUGAAGUAAAUGGCAGACCCAGUGUAGCACUUUAAACAUGUCUGUACAAUCAUACUCGGAAAUACCUCCAUUAUUUAAAGCAUAUAGAAGAUGGAUUACUUUAAACUAUUGUUUUGUUUUUAACCAACAGAAAAUAUAUUUCAGAUCUUUUGCAUAUUUUUGUAAUUUGUAUAAAUCAGAAUCAUAAUACAAUAUAAUAUAAAGCAACAUUUCAGAAGUUAAAAUAUGGAAUUCUAUAUGCAAGAACCAUGACAUUUUCCUUUUUUUGAAUGUCAGGUAGAAAUGUGACAUUGCCUUAGACAUUAUUUGACACAGGGGGAAUGUUUUUCAGUGCUACAUCCCAUAUGCUGACCUUCACAAUCACGUUUCAAGACAUUUUAUUGGUUCUCAGUUUUUAUUAACAUGUUUUCAAGGACAUGCAAAUGUGUAAUGUAUUCAUGAUGCAUAGAGUUGAAUCCUUUUCCUUCAUACCUGAAAUUACUUGAAGUGUGUGCCUUUAAUUAUACCCAGAUAAAACCGCUUUAUAAUGUAGGGUAACAUCAUUUAAGUGCAGACAUUAGUAUUGAUAUUAUUGCUGAAGAUGUAUUUUCUAAACCUAGAAUGGGUGGAACACUGUGAUACUAAUUUACACCAACACACACACUUAAGACAGUCUUGAUAUUCCAACCGAAGCCAGCAGUUUUUUUAAUUAACAGUAUUAUUCUGAUUUUAAUUUCACCAUUAUUACGUUUUCAUUCUCUCUAACAAUGAAUUAGUUUGGACUGCAAAAUUAAAUGAUUUUGUAUACAAUUUAUAAAAGAAAGAAAUCACACUUUGUAAGUUUUAUAAUUUGCAACAAUAAAUAUUGUUUUUAACAAUAUUUAUUAUGUUUGUUCUCCCAACCACAAGAAUUCUCUCUAUUAUGCAUUCCAAAAAAAAAAAAAAAAAAACCCAAAGCAUUGACGUCAAGAUGACUCCACUGCUUUGGCUGUGCCUUCAUUUUCUAAAUGUUAUUUCUUGUGUCCUGAUUUAGUUUCCAUAAAUUAACAUGAUAUUGGCAUGAAUAUCAGCUCACUUCCAAACGUCUGUGGAGGAGUGGACCAAGUCCAGACAAAUAAGUGAAUGAUAAAGAUGUAUUCGCCCUUUGUCAUGAGACAAAAAAUAUGUAUAAUUUAAUCUGCUGACAUGUUUCAUAGUUGUUUGGAUGUAUGACUAAUAGAUGUAUACGUUUGAUGUACUUGAGUUGGGAUGAUAUUAAAAAAAUGAAAAAUUCA